CCAGAAAGGGGACCUCGCCAGUUUCGUUUUCUUUGUUUUCUUUAAGUGAGCUUCCUUCUUUUAGCCCUAUCGUGCAGAGUAUCUUAGAAAGUACAUAUAAGCAGGGACAGAAGGAGAAAUCUCCCGCCCCAACUUAGACAAUCACGUGUUUAAAGCCCAGGCGCUUCGCUCGCAAAGUUUCGAGGGGCGGAGGCGGCGUCGUCACCAUUGGCUGGAUGUGCCAGCUCGCCUAGCGUUUACCAGCUCGCCUUUCAAACUGGGGACAACAAGGAUCCUGGAAACUUCUGAGCAGCGCACCUGGGGUCGUGUUCAAAAGCUUUUCUUCUUGGCACCUGGGCCGAGGAGUCCUAUUUGAAUGGAUUACUGGGUCCUCAGCUCUUAGAAAGGCAUCUUCCAUCUGCUUCAGCUCUGAGUUUGGGGACAACCCUGAGGAAAUGAUGCUGCCUUCCAGCAGACUUGGAACCACAGCCUUCUCCCUCCAAAAGUACUGGGAAGAGCCCAGUAAUCCUCCCGAAGAUGAAGUUGCUAAAGAAAAAUCUGCAUAACUCUCUGUCUCGGAGUCUGUCUGUAUGUGCCUAUUCCCAUGCGCUCUUUUGCCCCCUAAUAAAUGCUUUACUUGUUUCACUA